CUACGGGUGGCUGCAGUAAGGAAUAUUGCGCAAUGGAGGCAACUCUGACGCAGCCAUGCCGCAUGCAGGAAGAAGGCCUUAUGGGUCGUAAACUGCUUUUAUUUAGGAAUAAACCCCCGAACGUGUUCGGGGCUGAAGGUACUAAACGAAUAAGCACCGGCUAACUCCGUGCCAGCAGCCGCGGUAAUACGGAGGGUGCAAGCGUUAUCCGGAUUUAUUGGGUUUAAAGGGUGCGCAGGCGGGCUAUUAAGUCAGUGGUGAAAUCCCGGGGCUCAACUCCGGAACUGCCAUUGAUACUGAUAGUCUUGAGUUUGGUUGAAGUGGGCGGAAUGUAGCAUGUAGCGGUGAAAUGCAUAGAUAUGCUACAGAACACCAAUCGCGAAGGCAGCUCACUAAGCCAAAACUGACGCUCAUGCACGAAAGCGUGGGGAUCAAACAGGAUUAGAUACCCGAGUAGUC
rnacentral:rRNA from 1 species